rnacentral:misc_RNA from 1 species
CAACCCUCAGGACCCCUCCCCUUCGCGGGGCGGGGACCUGGCGUUGGGGAUCGGCCCGCCCCCGUGCGGCGCCGUCCCCGAAAUACAGUGGCGGUCUCGCUGCAGCCUCUCUUGCGUAGUAGUACAACCUCGCACUGGAGCGCGGCGCGGCCACGCCGUAAAACCCCCGACUUUCUGAA